UACGUAGGUGGCUAGCGUUGUCCGGAUUUACUGGGCGUAAAGAGCGCGCAGGCGGUCGUUCAAGUCGAGUGUGAAAGCCCCCCGGCUCAACUGGGGAGGGUCACUCGAUACUGAUCGACUUGAAGGCGGGAGAGGGAAGCGGAAUUCCCGGUGUAGUGGUGAAAUGCGUAGAUAUCGGGAGGAACACCAGUGGCGAAGGCGGCGAUCUGGGAAGAUACUGACGCUGAGGUGCGAAAGCGUGGGGAGCAAACAGG
rnacentral:rRNA from 1 species